rnacentral:rRNA from 1 species
UACGAAGGGGGCUAGCGUUGUUCGGAAUUACUGGGCGUAAAGCGCGCGCAGGCGGUCCUUCAAGACAGAUGUGAAAUCCCCGGGCUCAACCUGGGAACUGCAUUUGUGACUGCAUCGCUGGAGUGCGGCAGAGGGGGGAUGGAAUUCCGCGUGUAGCAGGUGAAAUGCGUAGAUAUGCGGAGGAACACCGAUGGCGAAGACAAUCCCCUGGGCCUGCACUGACGCUCAUGCACGAAAGCGUGGGGAGCAAACAGGAUUAGAACCU